AUUGAACGCUGGCGGCAUGCUUUACACAUGCAAGUCGAACGGUAACAGGCCGCAAGGUGCUGACGAGUGGCGAACGGGUGAGUAAUGCAUCGGAACGUGCCCAGUCGUGGGGGAUAACGCAGCGAAAGCUGUGCUAAUACCGCAUACGAUCUAUGGAUGAAAGCGGGGGACCGUAAGGCCUCGCGCGAUUGGAGCGGCCGAUGUCAGAUUAGGUAGUUGGUGGGGUAAAGGCUCACCAAGCCAACGAUCUGUAGCUGGUCUGAGAGGACGACCAGCCACACUGGGACUGAGACACGGCCCAGACUCCUACGGGAGGCAGCAGUGGGGAAUUUUGGACAAUGGGCGCAAGCCUGAUCCAGCAAUGCCGCGUGCAGGAAGAAGGCCUUCGGGUUGUAAACUGCUUUUGUACGGAACGAAACGGCGAGCUCUAAUACAGUUUGCUAAUGACGGUACCGUAAGAAUAAGCACCGGCUAACUACGUGCCAGCAGCCGCCGUAACAC
rnacentral:rRNA from 1 species